CAUUUGAUCUGGUGAGGGGGGCGCGAACGACUACUCGACGCUCGUGCUACGUUAUUCUGUUUGGGGUCUAAAAUUGUUCUUUAUGGUUUGUUUCUAUACUUAUUGUCGCUGAUUUAAGAGUCUCUUCAGUUCCUGAUUCUGAGUUCAUGGAGAAGAAUACUGAGCUCGCUGGCAGUGCAUCAUCUUCUGCUGGAAUAGGAUCCAGGUACUUUGAUUUGAAAAAGUCCUUCAAGUUCGCUAUGCGUUCUUUGCUCACUGCCUGCUCAAAGGAGGAAUUUGACAAAGCUUUUCUGAGAUUCACAACCGCGGAAAAAGAAUGGCUUCAUCGCCUCUAUCUUCAGGUCAUCACUUCAUUGCAUGAAAAUAUAGAGGCUGAGUUUGAGUCAAUCUGUCUUGAAACGCAGGUGGGGGCCACUCUUGAUGCUGUAGAGGAAAUGGUGGAAGAGCAAGAGCUGGAUCCUUUGUUCUCAAAUAAUUGCAGGAGUAAUGUCAUGGAUGUGGUUGAGGAUCUGUCCACUGCGAAUAAGAAUGAAAUCCAGCAGUUGACGCGUAUUAUAAAAUUGGGAGAGGAACAUAAUAGUAGGAUUCGCACACAGUUGCAACUCCUCAGAGAAGGCAGACAAGCAAUGUCUGGUGUAUCAGAUGCUAUUGAGAAGCAGUUCAGGAGCAGGAAUUUAACUUAUGGAGCCAACCGAUGCGAAGAGAUUCAAGAUAUGUAAAACCUCCUUAGUACAUCUUCUGUUAUAUUUACCGAAGUUCUUCUUCUGGGUAUCAUUUGCCUAUGCAUUCAUGUAUAUUGUUCCAAAGCUUCUAAAGGCGUUAGUCUUGGAAUGUCAAAUAUUAGCAGAGAAAUCCCUUGUUAGCGGUAUCAUUAUUAGGGUCCAGUGCUAUGAGUGGUUCGUAUUGUAACGAAAAGCAGAGAAUCUUUCUGUUAAUCAUAGUGUCGCUGAGUAUUGCCUUUGUGGACCUCAACGCGCGUGACAUUGAACAGGGAAACGUGUCGAAUCUGACACAUGCCGAAUAUUGCCCACUCUGGUUCAACAGUGCGUAAUAGCAAUGGCAAGAAUGAGGCCAAGUCAAUCGAUAGCUCAAUCUUCAUGACAUUCCUCUUUAACUGCAACAUUAAUAUGUGGUAAAUCAUGGCAGGAUGGGAACCUGAAGUUCAGUGUGGUAUCUUAGAGGUUUCCUCUUCCUCUUUUUACACUGAUUACUAGGUCUGUCAUUAUUACUCAAUGUUUUCUUGUUUUUAUUGCUUUUCCAAGAUGAAAAUUUAAGUCCAGUUUUAUGGAAUUCAUUUAGAAAUAAAA